rnacentral:rRNA from 1 species
CAAUAGCGUAUAUUAAAGUUGUUGCGGUUAAAAAGCUCGUAGUUGGAUUUCUGCUGAGAACGACCGGUCCGCCCAUUGGGUGUGUAUCUGGCUCUUUCUUGGCAUCUUCUUGGUGAACGUUACUGCACUUGACUGUGUGGAGCGCUACCCAGGACUUUUACUUUGAGGAAAUUAGAGUGUUUCAAGCAGGCAUACGCCUUGAAUACGUUAGCAUGGAAUAAUAAGAUAGGACCUCGGUUCUAUUUUGUUGGUUUCUAGAGCUGAGGUAAUGAUUAAUAGGGAUAGUUGGGGGCAUUCGUAUUUAACCGUCAGAGGUGAAAUUCUUGGAUUUGUUAAAGACGGACUACUGCGAAAGCAUUUGCCAAGGAUGUUUUCAUUGA